rnacentral:rRNA from 1 species
UACGAAGGUCCCGAGCGUUGUUCGGAAUCACUGGGCGUAAAGGGAGCGUAGGCUGCACGGUAAGUCAGAUGUGAAAGCCCGGGGCUCAACCCCGGAACUGCAUCCGAUACUGCCGUGCUUGAGGACUGGAGAGGAGUCUGGAAUUCACAGUGGAGCAGUGAAAUGCGUAGAUAUUGUGAGGAACACUAGUAGCGAAGGCGAGACUCUGGACAGAACCUGACGCUGAGGCUCGAAGGCCAGGGGAGCAAACGGG